rnacentral:rRNA from 1 species
CCCUUAGAUGUUCUGGGCUGCACGCGCGCUACACUGAUGCAUGCAACGAGUUUUCGACCUUGCCUGAAAAGGUUGGGUAAUCUGUUUAACAUGUGUCGUGAUGGGGAUAGACCAUUGCAAUUAUUGAUCUUCAACGAGGAAUUCCUAGUAAGCGCGAGUCAUCAGCUCGUGCUGAUUAUGUCCCUGCCCUUUGUACACACCGCCCGUCGCUCCUACCGAUUGAAUGCUCAGGUGAGCCAUUCGGACUUUCAUCAUGCUGGUUUCCAGUUUUGAUGAAGGAAAGUCUUGCGAACCUUAUCAUUUAGAGGAAGGAGAAGUCGUAACA